rnacentral:misc_RNA from 1 species
GAUGAAGAACGGAGCGAAAUGCGAUACGUAAUGUGAAUUGCAGAAUUCAGUGAAUCAUCGAAUCUUUGAACGCAUAUUGCGCUCUCUGGUAUUCCGGAGAGCAUGCUUGUUUGAGUAUCAGUAAACACCUCAACUCCCUUUUGUUUUUUGAAAUUGGAGCUGGACUUGAGUGAUCCCAACGCUUUCUUCCAAGAAAGUGGCGGGUUGCUUGAAAUGCAGGUGCAGCUGAACUUUUCUCUGAGCUAUAAGCAUAUCUAUUUAGUCUGCCUAAAAAACAGAUUAUUACCUUUGCUGCAGCUAACAUAACGGAGACUAGUUCUUGUGCUGACUGAUGCAGGAUUCACAGAGACAGCUUCGGCUGACUUUGUAAACUCGAUCUCAAAUCAAGUAAGACUACCCGCUGAACUUAAGCAUAUCAAUAAGCGGAGGA